AACGAACGCUGGCGGCAUGCCUAACACAUGCAAGUCGAACGAGACCUUCGGGUCUAGUGGCGCACGGGUGCGUAACGCGUGGGAACCUGCCCUUAGGUUCGGAAUAACUCCCCGAAAGGGGUGCUAAUACCGGAUAAUGUCUUCGGACCAAAGAUUUAUCGCCUUUGGAUGGGCCCGCGUUGGAUUAGCUAGUUGGUAGGGUAAAAGCCUACCAAGGCGACGAUCCAUAGCUGGUCUGAGAGGAUGAUCAGCCACACUGGGACUGAGACACGGCCCAGACAGGGACGGGGGAGAGAGGUGGGGUGUAGUAUGGAGUGGGGGGAAGUCUAAUCCAGCAGUGGGGGGGGAGAGAUCAAUGGAGUCGGGUUGGAAAGCGCUGUUUACCGGGGUGAGAAUGACAGUAAUGGGUGAAUAAGCAACGGCUAACUACGUG
rnacentral:rRNA from 1 species